rnacentral:rRNA from 1 species
GGGCGUAAAGAGCUCGUAGGCGGUUUGUCGCGUCUGCUGUGAAAAUCUGAGGCUCAACCUCGGACUUGCAGUGGGUACGGGCAGACUAGAGUGCGGUAGGGGAGAAGGGAAUUCCUGGUGUAGCGGUGGAAUGCGCAGAUAUCAGGAGGAACACCAAUGGCGAAGGCACUUCUCUGGGCCGCUACUGACGCUGAGGAGCGAAAGCGUGGGGAGCGAACAGGAUUAGAUACCCUGGUAGUCCACGCCGUAAACGUUGGGCGCUAGAUGUGGGUCACAUUCCACGUGAUCCGUGUCGCAGCUAACGCAUUAAGCGCCCCGCCUGGGGAGUACGGCCGCAAGGCUAAAACUCAAAGGAAUUGACGGGGGCCCGCACAAGCGGCGGAGCAUGCGGAUUAAUUCGAUGCAACGCGAAGAACCUUACCAAGGCUUGACAUAUAGAGGAAAACUGCAGAAAUGUAGUCCCCGCAAGGUCUCUAUACAGGUGGUGCAUGGUUGUCGUCAGCUCGUGUCGUGAGAUGUUGGGUUAAGUCCCGCAACGAGCGCAACCCUCGUCCUAUGUUGCCAGCACGUUAUGGUGGGAACUCAUGGGAGACUGCCGGGGUCAACUCGGAGGAAGGUAAU